GCCCAGUUAGGUGGACCAUAUUGAGGCUGCGGUGGUCACCUCGGUAGUAACCGCGGGUGUGUGCCGCAGUCACGUCAGCGGCCUCCGUUUCCUUUAGCCUUCUCUCUCAUCAAAUGAUUUUCCUGUCCAGUUAUAAAGUGCAAGUUGUUGCCCCAAGUGGUCAGGAGAACCUGCAGUAUCUCCAAGCUUACAAUCUGAAGGUGUCCGUUCCUACACUGGUCAGACCACUGUCCUUGGGGCAGCUGGGGUCUUUGGGACCCUCCACCGGGCUCGCCGGUCCGUCGGACUUUUGGCUGAGAUCCGUGUCAGACUCCUCCGAAUAGUCGUCUGUUGGCAUCGAGGGCUGAACCCCUGAGGUGCUGCAUGAACUUGAGAGCGCGCUCUCGCACGCCAGGCAGUGGUACGAGCCGCUGCCGCCACUGCCACCGCCGCCACUGCCGCCGCCACUG